UUUUAUCUUUUGCCCUCCUCUCCUCGCGGUCACCUCUUGUUACUGUUUUCAUUUUCCCUUUCAAUGAAAUGGUGUGAAGAUGGGAGGCACAAGAGAGGGAUCCUGUUUUUUCUGCGGGACACGUCUUAAUCCCAUCAUGCGUGUUUCUUCAGCUAUGUAUUCUAAUAAUCUGCUAAAGUAGAAAGUAAAAGACCUGCUAUUUUAUCUCAUUGGGACUGUACGUUUUAGAGAUCGGGAAGUAAACAGUCCACUAACCCUGCCGAUAACUAUCAUCUGGCCCGGAGGAGAACCCUGCAGGUGGUUGUGAGCUCCUUGCUGACAGAGGCAGGGUUUGAGAGUGCCGAGAAAGCAUCCGUGGAAACGCUGACAGAGAUGCUGCAGAGCUACAUUUCAGAAAUUGGGAGAAGUGCCAAGUCUUACUGUGAGCACACAGCCAGGACCCAGCCCACACUGUCCGAUAUCGUGGUCACACUUGUUGAGAUGGGUUUCAAUGUGGACACUCUCCCUGCUUAUGCAAAACGGUCUCAGAGGAUGGUCAUCACUGCUCGUAAGUGAC
rnacentral:lncRNA from 1 species